rnacentral:rRNA from 1 species
CGAGCGAGAAAGGGAGCAAUCCCCGGUACAGCGGCGCACGGGUGAGUAACACGUAGGUAACCAACCUCCGAGUGGUGGAUAACCUUCCGAAAGGAGGGCUAAUACAGCAUGAGCCCACGAGUCCGAGAGGAUUUGAGGGAAAAGCCGGCCAAUCCAUGGAAGCUGGCGCUUGGAGACGGGCCUGCGGCCCAUCAGCUAGUUGGUGAGGUAAUGGCUCACCAAGGCUUAGACGGGUAGCUGGUCUGAGAGGAUGAUCAGCCACACUGGAACUGCGACACGGUCCAGACUCCUACGGGAGGCAGCAGUGGGGAAUCUUGCGCAAUGGGCGAAAGCCUGACGCAGCGACGCCGCGUGGGUGAUGAAGGCCUUCGGGUUGUAAAGCCCUGUGG